GACGAACGCUGGCGGCGUGCUUAACACAUGCAAGUCGAACGGACCUUAUGGAAUAGUUUACUAGGAAAUAAGGUUAGUGGCGGACGGGUGAGUAACACGUGGAUAAUCUGCCUGGCACACAGGGAUAACACUGUGAAAACGGUGCUAAUACCGGAUACGCUCUACUGAUUGCAUAACUGGUAGAGGAAAGGGGGAACCCGGUGCGAGAUGAGUCCGCGGCUGAUUAGCUAGUUGGUGGGGUAAGAGCCUACCAAGGCGACGAUCAGUAGCCGGCCUGAGAGGGUGAACGGCCACACUGGAACUGAGACACGGUCCAGACUCCUACGGAGGCAGCAGUGGGGAAUCUUCCGCAAUGGGCGAAAGCCUGACGGAGCAACGCCGCGUGGGUGACGAAGGCCUUCGGGUUGUAAAGCCCUGUCUUAUGGGAAGAAAAAAUAGACGGUACCAUAGGAGGAAGCCACGGCUAACUACGUGCCAGCAGCCGCGGUAAGAGUCACGUCG
rnacentral:rRNA from 1 species